rnacentral:ncRNA from 1 species
ACAUCGACGAAGACGAGAUGUAGUAGCAACGGAAAAAUCCGCAGAGAGCUGGCGUUUGGUGAAAGCUAGUGUUUGGCAAGUUGUGAAAAUGGUCUCUGAGUCUGUGUGGUUCUGCGAGCAGUAAUGUAAGUGGUACCCGGGUGCGCCCGUUAUAGCGCAAGCGUAUAUCCGGCGGCCGUUGACUAGUCCGGCCACAAGGCGUACGUUCAAGCUUAUUUGGGUGAUCAAAUAAGGAAACUGGGUGGUAACACGAGUCAUUUCGUCCCGGGG